AGCGCCAGCUCAGGUGCGGCCGGUCUAGCAGACGAUGGGGUCAGCUGACCGGCCGGGCCAAUGGGUGCGAGCGAGAGCGAGUGAGGCGAGCGGGGGACAGCGGCCGGACGCUGGAGCCCGGUCACUCAGCGAGCUGCAGCGGCGAGAGAGGGUCUGCCUCGGCGGCCCGACCCAAGCACCUGCUAUGGUUUUAGUUUACAUCUGUGCGCUACCCGCACAUAGUGCUUGGGUCUAAGUUUUAGUCUUAUGACGGUGUGUGCCUUCGGGUCUAUUCCCUAUGGGAUUAUUCGCCGUGAUGGCGUGUUCGCUUUGAGUCAACCGAUGUAGAACUAGGUUUUCAUUCUCACCGGCGGUCCGCCCCGUGAAGUCACCAGCAGUCUGACGUUUGUCGAUCUUUGCCGCCCGCCCCGCCGGGGCCGGGACGGCUCGUUUUGUUGUGAAACUCUCCUCUCCAUCACCGCAUCGCUAAACACGUGUAAGUGUUUUGUACCUCUGUAUGAGUGUUCUGUUGUCUGUCGACAUCUUUCAUCUUUUUGGUUCCGCGGCGAUGACGUUUCGAUUUGUGACUUUUGCGCUGGCUCUUAUUAGUGAGUGUGGGAGGGCAGGGCGUUAGCGAGGUCCUUGCUCGUCGUAGAUUGCGGCGGGCCCGGCUGGCUCCUGUCCGCUCCCCCUGCACUUGAGCUUUUUGUCUUUUAGGGAUUUGUUUUGCGCUGUUGAGUUCUUUGACGUAUUGUCCGCGGACCAGUUGGGUUGCAUACCCUCUCGGCGUUUUGAGAUUAAUGGGUUGCCUAUCUAGCAGGCGUGUAUUCGAUGAAUAACUCGUUUUGUUGAUUUUAUGCUAGUAUGCUGAUUUGUAUAGCGUCAGAAGUGCGCUUUGCGUUCUAGUCUAAUGUUGAUUUGUUAGUCAUCUUUGCUACUAUAUAUGUACUUUUUACUCAAGUUUACCCAUUUCGUACCAGCAGCAUUUAUCACUUUUUACUCGUUCUUUACCUCCACUCUCACUUCCCUCUUGGAGGUGGGAGAACGAGUAUUGUGCUUGGUCUGGUGUAAUUUAGCGACUCGAUUCAUCUCGGUAACCACAACACCUACAACUAUGCCAGUUGUAUCAAACUGUGGGUCUUGGCGGCCUCACCAAUCCAUAAUAGACGUUUCUUUCGGUUUAUUACGCAAAAUUGAAAGAAAUUUCAGAAAUAAGGUCGAAAAAAUCGCCGGUCGAGCGUGCGUUUCGGACGGUUUUUCUACACGGACAAAUAUCUUAAUAGAGAUAAGUUUUACCUGAAAAUAUUUGGCUAAACAACUAAAAGUAGGCUAGCCGUUAAUGUUUCAACUUAAAACAAUCAUAUUAUAACCUUUUUUGGCUCUCAUAAUGAUUAAAACCUAUCUCAAAUGAAAUUCUUCUAACACGAAAAAAACAAUCAAGCGCAUGCGCGAACAGCGCCAUCUAUUGAGAAAAGCUAAAACUGCGUCGGCGCGAAAAGUUUUGAAGAGCGGUCAUUAACAACAAUGAUCUUUCUGUUUUCAUUUCAUAAUCACACCAGACCAAACUUGGGUAAAGAACGAGGUUUCUCCUAAUGUAUCAAACAUGUUUGAUGCCCUGAUGCUCUUCUUGUUGUAUUGUGUUACUACCUGACUUUGCCAAUAAAAUUCUGUGCUACAUCCUU